UCGGGGGGCUACGGCCCCGAAUGGAUGUAGGCCAGUCAGAAUUGCAGUACCAAUUCACAAUGACUGGCCGGCACCAUGUCCAUUGGUAACCCUUGUCUACUAGUACCACUGUUUCCUCAGCAAGUUCGCUUGCUAAUGGGGGCCCUAUUCAACCUUUUUUUAUAUUGUAGUAACCGUAUGCAAACAAAUAAUCA
rnacentral:misc_RNA from 1 species